rnacentral:lncRNA from 1 species
UUCAAUCUUUGAGGCUAUUAGUUCCUUCUCCAAGCAACUUUUUUUCUAUUUAGACUGUCCUAUUGCUGACGAACACCUUCUGUUUGUCAGUAAGGUAGAAGUAAUACUCUUUGGUCUCUUUUGGGUAUCCUGCAAAUAGAUACUUGUCAGACCUAGGUCCAAGCUUAUCAAUUUUUAGACGUUUGACAUAAAUCGGACAUUUCCAAAUCCUAAGGUGAGAG